AUUGAACGCUGGCGGCAUGCCUUACACAUGCAAGUCGAACGGUAACAGGUCUUCGGAUGCUGACGAGUGGCGAACGGGUGAGUAAUACAUCGGAACGUGCCCGAUCGUGGGGGAUAACGGAGCGAAAGCUUUGCUAAUACCGCAUACGAUCUACGGAUGAAAGCAGGGGACCGCAAGGCCUUGCGCGGACGGAGCGGCCGAUGGCAGAUUAGGUAGUUGGUGGGAUAAAAGCUUACCAAGCCGACGAUCUGUAGCUGGUCUGAGAGGACGACCAGCCACACUGGGACUGAGACACGGCCCAGACUCCUACGGGAGGCAGCAGUGGGGAAUUUUGGACAAUGGGCGAAAGCCUGAUCCAGCCAUGCCGCGUGCAGGAUGAAGGCCUUCGGGUUGUAAACUGCUUUUGUACGGAACGAAAAGCCUCUUUCUAAUAAAAAGAGGUCAUGACGGUACCGUAAGAAUAAGCACCGGCUAACUACGUGCCAGCAGCCGCGGUAACAC
rnacentral:rRNA from 1 species